CCUACGGGCGGCAGCAGUGAGGAAUCUUCCUCAAUGGGCGAAAGCCUGACGGAGCAACGCCGCGUGAUCGAAUGAAGGCCUUCGGGUUGUAAAGAUCUGUUGACAGGGACGAAUAAGCAAUGCGAAUAGUUUUGUGUAUGACGGUACCUGUUUAGAAAGCUCCGGCUAACUGCGUGCCAGCAGCCGCGGUAAUACGGAGGGAGCAAGCGUUGUCCGGAUUUACUGGGCGUAAAGGGAGCGUAGGUGGUCGCUUAAGUAAGGUGUGAAAACUCCGGGCUCAACCUGGAGACUGCACUUGAAACUGGGUGUCUUGAGGGCAGGAGAGGAAGGUGGAAUUCGUGGUGUAGCGGUGAAAUGCGUAGAUAUUAGGAGGAACACCAGUGGCGAAGGCGACUUUCUGGACUGUAACUGACGCUGAGGCGCGAAAGCGUGGGUAGCGAACGGGAUUAGAUACCCUGGUAGUC
rnacentral:rRNA from 1 species